rnacentral:rRNA from 1 species
CAAUAGCGUAUAUUAAAGUUGUUGCAGUUAAAAAGCUCGUAGUUGGAUUUCUGGUUGAAGCGACCGGUCGGGCGUUGAUUCGUCUGCACUGGAGUCGGUUUUGGCCAUCCUCUAGGAAAGUGCGUCUGGUAUUAAGUUAUCGGGCGUAUGAUCCUGGUUUUUUACUGUGAAAAAAUUAGAGUGUUUAAAGCAGGCCUUCGCCUUGAAUACAUUAGCAUGGAAUAAUAAGAUAGGACUUUGGUCUAUUUUGUUGGUUUGCAGACCGAAGUAAUGAUUAAUAGGGAUAGUUGGGGGUAUUUAUAUUCCGAUGUCAGAGGUGAAAUUCUUAGAUUUUCGGAAGAUAAACUUAUGCGAAAGCAUUUACCAAGGAUGUUUUCAUUAA